UACGUAGGGGGCAAGCGUUGUCCGGAAUCAUUGGGCGUAAAGAGCGCGUAGGCGGCCCUGUAAGUCCGCUGUGAAAGUCAAGGGCUCAACCCCUGGAUGCCGGUGGAUACUGCAGGGCUAGAGUCCGGAAGAGGCGAGUGGAAUUCCUGGUGUAGCGGUGAAAUGCGCAGAUAUCAGGAGGAACACCGAUGGCGAAGGCAGCUCGCUGGGACGGUACUGACGCUGAGGCGCGAAAGCGUGGGGAGCAAACAGG
rnacentral:rRNA from 1 species